UACGUAGGGUGCAGGCGUUAAUCGGAAUUACUGGGCGUAAAGCGUGCGCAGGCGGUUUUGUAAGCCAGAUGUGAAAUCCCCGGGCUUAACCUGGGAAUGGCAUUUGGGACUGCAAAGCUUGAGUGUGGCAGAGGGGACUGGAAUUCCUGGUGUAGCAGUGAAAUGCGUAGAGAUCAGGAGGAAUACCGAUGGCGAAGGCAGGUCCCUGGGCUGACACUGACGCUCAUGCACGAAAGCGUGGGGAGCAAACAGG
rnacentral:rRNA from 1 species